rnacentral:rRNA from 1 species
GCAUAUCAAUAAGCGGAGGAAAAGAAACCAACAGGGAUUACCUCAGUAACGGCGAGUGAAGCGGUAACAGCUCAAAUUUGAAAGCUAGCUCUUUUAGGGUUCGCAUUGUAAUUUGUAGAAGAUGCUUCGGGUGUGGCCCCGGUCUAAGUUCCUUGGAACAGGACGUCAUAGAGGGUGAGAAUCCCGUAUGUGACUGGGUGCUUUCGCUCAUGUGAAGCUCUUUCGACGAGUCGAGUUGUUUGGGAAUGCAGCUCAAAAUGGGUGGUAAAUUUCAUCUAAAGCUAAAUAUUGGCCAGAGACCGAUAGCGCACAAGUAGAGUGAUCGAAAGAUGAAAAGCACUUUGGAAAGAGAGUUAAACAGUACGUGAAAUUGUUGAAAGGGAAGCGCUUGCAACCAGACUUGCGCGCUGAUGAUCAUCCGGGCUUCUGUCCGGUGCACUCGUCUGCGCUCAGGCCAGCAUCGGUUUCGGUGGUGGGAUAAAGGCCUUGGGAAUGUAGCUUCUUUCGGGGAGUGUUAUAGCCCUCGGUGCAAUGCCGCCUACCGGGACCGAGGACCGCGCUUCGGCUAGGAUGCUGGCGUAAUGGUUGUAAGCGACCCGUCUUGAAACACGGACCAAGGAGUCUAACAUCUAUGCGAGUGUUUGGGUGUCAAACCCAUACGCGUAAUGAAAGUGAACGGAGGUGAGAACCCUUAAGGGUGCAUCAUCGACCGAUCCUGAUGUCUUCGGAUGGAUUUGAGUAAGAGCAUAGCUGUUGGGACCCGAAAGAUGGUGAACUAUGCGUGAAUAGGGUGAAGCCAGAGGAAACUCUGGUGGAGGCUCGCAGCGGUUCUGACGUGCAAAUCGAUCGUCAAAUUUGCGUAUAGGGGCGAAAGACUAAUCGAACCAUCUAGUAGCUGGAUCCUGCCGAAG